GCAUAUCAAUAAGCGCGGAGGAAAAGAAACCAACAGGGAUUGCCUCAGUAACGGCGAGCGAAGCGGCAAAAGCUCAAAUUUGAAAUCUGGCGUCGUGUCGGCGUCCGAGUUGUAAUUUGAAGAUGGCAACUUUGGGAAUGGCUCUCGCAUAUGUUCCUUGGAACAGGACGUCAUAGAGGGUGAGAACCCCGUUCAUGGCGAGAUGACCCAGUCCUAUGUAAAGUGCUUUCUAAGAGUCGAGUUGUUUGGGAAUA
rnacentral:rRNA from 1 species